rnacentral:rRNA from 1 species
AUUGAACGCUGGCGGCAGGCCUAACACAUGCAAGUCGAACGGUAACAGGAAGAAGCUUGCUUCUUUGCUGACGAGUGGCGGACGGGUGAGUAAUGUCUGGGAAACUGCCUGAUGGAGGGGGAUAACUACUGGAAACGGUAGCUAAUACCGCAUAACGUCUCAAGACCAAAGAGGGGGACCUUCGGGCCUCUUGCCAUCGGCUGUGCCCAGAUGGGAUUAGCUAGUAGGUGGGGUAACGGCUCACCUAGGCGACGAUCCCUAGCUGGUCUGAGAGGAUGACCAGCCACACUGGAACUGAGACACGGUCCAGACUCCUACGGGAGGCAGCAGUGGGGAAUAUUGCACAAUGGGCGAAAGCCUGAUGCAGCCAUGCCGCGUGUAUGAAGAAGGCCUUCGGGUUGUAAAGUACUUUCAGCGGGGAGGAAGGGAGUAAAGUUAAUACCUUUGCUCAUUGACGUUACCCGCAGAAGAAGCACCGGCUAACUCCGUG